rnacentral:lncRNA from 1 species
CCAGACAAAGGAGUGGGCACCAUAACGCAGUACGAGAUUUCUAACCCUCACCCUACAUCUACGCUGGGUGCCAAAGAAGAGCUGCAAACUGUGAAGUAACUUCUAUGAAGAGAUGAAGUAAAGAAUGGAAGGCAAAUGACUGUGGUAGUAAAGAAGUGUAUGUGGUGAGUGCUUAACAUUAUUUUAUCGUCUACCACAAAGUUAAUUCAUAAAAGUAUAACUGCCAAACUCUU